UACGGGGGGGGCAAGCGUUGUUCGGAAUUACUGGGCGUAAAGGGCUCGUAGGUGGCCAACUAAGUCAGACGUGAAAUCCCUCAGCUUAACUGGGGAACUGCGUCUGAUACUGGAUGGCUUGAGUUUGGGAGAGGGAUGCGGAAUUCCAGGUGUAGCGGUGAAAUGCGUAGAUAUCUGGAGGAACACCCGUGGCGAAGGCGGCUCUCUGGGACGUGACUGACGCUGAGACGCGAAAGCGUGGGGAGCGAACAGG
rnacentral:rRNA from 1 species